UACGGGGGGGGCAAGCGUUGUUCGGAAUUACUGGGCGUAAAGGGCUCGUAGGCGGCCAACUAAGUCAGACGUGAAAUCCCUCGGCUUAACCGGGGAACUGCGUUUGAUACUGGAUGGCUAGAGGUUGGGAGAGGGAUGCGGAAUUCCAGGUGUAGCGGUGAAAUGCGUAGAUAUCAGGAGGAACACCGGUGGUGUAGACGGCUUUCUGGACCGUAACUGACGCUGAGACACGAAAGCGUGGGUAGCAAACAGG
rnacentral:rRNA from 1 species